AAGUCGUAACAAGGUUUCCGUAGGUGAACCUGCGGAAGGAUCAUUAACACGUAUCCACGUAUCAACCAACUGUGAACUUGUUUUCAACCCACCUAUUUCACCCCCUUUUUGCUAGUUGACUUUUAUAUGUUGUUUCUUUUGUACUUUAUUGUAUGAUGGAUUCACACGUUUAUUAUUUGAACGUUAAAAUUACAACUCUUAGCAAUGGAUAUCUUGGUUCUC
rnacentral:misc_RNA from 1 species